rnacentral:misc_RNA from 1 species
CUAUAUAGCCGUGAAUACGGAGACUCACUUCUCUACCUGGUUGCUGGCGUUUUUGUAUAUGGCGGCAGGGCUGAUGCUUGCUCAGCGCAUUAUCAUCUCAGCCAGCGGAAUGCGCUAUAGCGAAUUUUUGAAGAAUGUUCGCACCAAAUUGUUUUCUAAAAAAAAGUGAUAUUGAAAUAGCGUGAGAGCUUACUUUGUUAAUUCAUCACUUCGAUUGAAGGUCCGCUAUUCGCUGUGAGUUCAAUCGGUCGAUGCAACGCUAUCCUUAAUCAAGGGGGACGUUGUCAUAAAACGAAGAACUCGGAUCAACUACACGCCAGAGCAGAAGGCAAUUAUCUGGGACAGAUAUAAGCAAGGUGAUUCUCUACAUGAUAUCGCCAGAAUGUUCGAUAGAUAUCAUUCUUCCAUUAUGCCCACUAUCCACCAGACAGGCGGCUACCGUCCUCC